rnacentral:rRNA from 1 species
GGUUCGAUUAUGGCUCAGAUUGAACGCUGGCGGGAUGCUUUACACAUGCAAGUCGAACGGCAGCACGGACUUCGGUGCGAUGACAGUGGGGUGAUAAUGUAUCGAACCAUCACCUAAUGGCAGGGGAUAACUACGCGAAAGCGUAGCUAAUACCGCAUACCUAGGAAAGCGGGGGACCUUCGGGCCUCGCACUAUUAGAGCGGCCGAUAUCGGAUUAGCUAGUUGGUGGGGUAACGGCUCACCAAGGCGACGAUCCGUAGCCGGUUUGAGAGGACGACCAGCCACACUGGGGCUGAGGCAACUGGAGCUCUACGGGAGGCAGCAGUGGGGGGAAUUUUGGACAAUGGGGGAAACCCUGAUCCAGCCAUCCGCGUGUGCGAUGAAAUUUUCGGGUUGUAAGCACUUUUGGCAGGAAAGCAGCACGGAUAAUACCCCGUGCAACUGACGGUACCUGCAGAAUAAGCACCGGCUAACCGUGCCAGCAGCCGCGGUAAUACGUAGGGUGCAAGCGUUAAUCGGAAUUACUGGGCGUAAAGCGUGCGCAGGCGGUUCGGAAAGAAAGAUGUAGAAAUCCCAGAGCUUAACUGGGGCAUACGACUUUUAACUACCGAGCUAGAGUGUGUCAGAGGAGGUGGAAUUCCGCGUGUAGCAGUGAAAUGCGUAGAUAUGCGGAGGAACACCGAUGGCGAAGGCAACCUCCUGGGAUAACACUGACGCUCAUGCACGAAGCGUGGGGAGCAAACAGGAUUAGAUACCCUGGACAGUCCACUUCAACGAUGUCAACUAGCUGUUUGGGGCCUUCGGGCCUUGGUGGCGCAGCCUAAGCGUGAAGUUGACCGCCGCAAGUACGGUCGCAAGAUUAAACUCAAAGGAAUUGACGGGGACCCGCACAAGCGGUGGAUAGUGUGGACAAUUCGAUGCAACGCGAAAAACCUUACCUACCCUUGACAUGUCUGGAAUCCCGAAGAGAUUUAGAGUGCUCGCAAGAGGAGCCGGGAACUGGGUGCUGCAUGGCUGUCGUCCGGCUCGUGUCGUGAGAUGUUGGGUUAGUCCGCAACGAGCGCAACCCUUGUCAUUAGUUGCUACGAAAGGGCACUCUAAUGAGACUGCCGAUGCCGACUCGCAAACCAGGGAGGAAGGAUGGGAGUGACCGUCAAGUCCUCAUGAAAGCGCAUAUGGUGGGCUGCACGUCAUACAAUGGUCGGGACAGAGGGUCGCCAACCCGCGAGGAGCCAAUCCCAGAAACCCGAUCCGUAGUCCGGAUCGCAGUCUGCAACUCGGCUGCGUGAAGUCGGAAUCGCUAGUAAUCGCGGAUCAGCAUGUCGCGGUGGAAUACGUUCCCGGGUCUUGUACACACCGCCCGUCACACCAUGGGAGUGGGUUUACCAAGUAGUUAGCCUAACCGUAAGGGCGAUUACCACGGUAGGAUUCAUGACUGGGGUGAAGUCGUAACAAGGUAA